CCUUGUGGAGGAGGACGCCGAAGGUGGGGCUAAUGACUGGGGUGAAGUCGUAACAAGGUAGCCGUACCGGAAGGUGCGGCUGGAUCACCUCCUAACAGGGAGACAACAAAAUGUUUAAUAUUAUUUUGUCACCUUAGGUCGAUCGGUAUCUCACGUUCUUAAUUUAUUAAGAAUUUCAUUUCCUAAGUUUUUCUAGGUCACACCCAUUAUUUUUCCUGGGCCAUUAGCUCAGGUGGUUAGAGCGCACCCCUGAUAAGGGUGAGGUCCCUGGUUCAAGUCCAGGAUGGCCCAUAUCUCUAUGUUGGGGGUAUAGCUCAGUUGGUAGAGCGCCUGCUUUGCAAGCAGGAUGUCAGCGGUUCGAGUCCGCUUACCUCCACUGAUUACCACCUCUUCCAUAACCGGUAGGAUAGGAAAUGUUUUGAGUUGUGAUCAAAUUCUGAAAGAAUCUAGCUUCCUAAUGAAACCAUUAAGAUGCUGGACUCAUUGAAUUAAUUUCAUUGUUUUCAGAGAACCUUGACAACUGCAUAGAUUAUUUUUAAAGACAAUAAGCAUCUUUAAUGAUGCAGAUUUAUUAUUUGUGCGAAUGCAUUAAUAACAAUUCUAUUAAGCUGAUGCUUCAAUUUUUGAAGUUAUUGGUCAAGCUACAAAGGGCUCACGGA
rnacentral:misc_RNA from 1 species